rnacentral:rRNA from 1 species
AGGUCGACCCGCUGAACUUAAGCAUAUCAAUAAGCGGAGGAAAAGAAACUAACAAGGAUUCCCUUAGUAACGGCGAGUGAACAGGGAUUAGCCCAUAACCGAAUCCUGCAGCGCGAGUUGCUAGGAAAUGUGGUGUUUGGUUCCGAUUCCUACGGCAUGUUGGAGCUGUUUUAAGUCCACGUGAUUGUGGCAUCAAGCCCAUAGAGGGUGUGAGGCCCGUCAAAGCAGUACAGCAUGUCCAGGAGCGGUUCCUCGAGUCGGGUUGCUUGGAAAUGCAGCCCUAAUGCGGUGGUAAACUCCAUCGAAGGCUAAAUACAACACGAGUCCGAUAGCGAACAAGUACCAUGAGGGAAAGUUGAAAAGAACUUUGAAGAGAGAGUUCAAUAGUGCGUGAAACCGCUCAAAGGAUAAACGGGAAACGCUGAGGUGGGGCUCGGACAUUUGUACUACGAUGUGGCAAUCUUGUGGGUGCGGAGUCUUUAUCGCUCGGCCUAUUAGGUUCGCUAUGUUGUUGUGCUAUUGUUCGGGUUCGACACUACGAGCAGUAAUUAAGAUGGUCUGGCGUCUGAGGGAAGGUAGCUUGCUUGCAAGUGUUAUAGCCUUUGGGCCUGGUACCGUCCGAAUACUGGUGUUCGAUGCACGCCUUUUGGCGCAUAAGGUAGCUCUGGGUCUGAGGUAGCUUUGACAACUCAUAAAGAGAUGGCUUGGCUUUCUGAGGAUCAAUUGUUACCCUCUGUGUGGUGUGUCGAUUAUCGUGGUGAUAUAGUAGGCAUGUUUCCUGUCCCGUCUUGAAACACGGACCAAGGAGUUGUACAUGUACGCGAGUCAUUGGGUCGUACGAAACCUAAAGGCGCAUUGAAAGAAAAGGCUUCUCUUUUUGGAGGCUUAGGUACGAUCCUGGUAGUGAUGGGCUUAAUGCACACACUCUGGGCGCAGUACCGGCUCAUCCCAUGCUUUAUGAAGCGGGGUGACGCAAGAGCGUACACGUUCAGACCCGAAAGAUGGUGAACUAUGCGUGUGUAGGUUGAAGCCAGAGGAAACUCUGGUGGAGGACUAAAGCGGUUCUGACGUGCAAAUCGAUCGUCAAACAUGCGUAUAGGGGCGAAAGACUAAUCGAACCAUCUAGUAGCUGGUUCCCCUCGAAGUUUCCCUCAGGAUAGCAGGCAUUUGGGAAGUAAUCAGUUUUAUCCGGUAAAGCGAAUGAUUAGCAGCAUUGGGGAUGAAAUAUCCUCAACUGAUUCUCAAACUUUAAAUGGGUGAGAAGCAUGACUCUCUUUAUUGGAGUUGUGCCUUCGAAUGAAAGUGCCUAGUGGGCCAUUUUUGGUAAGCAGAACUGGCGCUGUGGGAUGAACCAAACGCUUGGUUACGGAGCCAAACAUGUCGCUCAUGAGAAACCACAAAAGGUGUUGGUUGAUUUUGACAGCAGGACGGUGGCCAUGGAAGUCGGAAUCCGCUAAGGAGUGUGUAACAACUCACCUGCCGAAUCAACCAGCCCUGAAAAUGGAUGGCGCUCGAGCGAUGGUCCUAUACCAGGCCGUUACUGCGAAAUGUAUGCAGUAACGAGUAGAGGGGCGCCGUGGUGAGCAUCGAAGCCUAGGACGUGAGUCUGGGUGGAGCCGCCACGGGUGCAGAUCUUGGUGGUAGUAGCAAAUAUUCAAGUGAGAACCUUGAAGACUGAAGUGGAGAAGGGUUC